rnacentral:misc_RNA from 1 species
AAGUCGUAACAAGGUAACCGUAGGUGAACCUGCGGUUGGAUCAUUACCAAUCUCUUGCCGCAAGGCAAUUAACCAUUGUGCACCAAUUGACGUCUCUGGCAGUCUCCCUUGGGAGCUGCCAAACUUAUAUAAACCGUAUAUUGUUUUGCCUUAACUUAAUUGAAAAAUUAAAAAACAACUUUUGACAACGGAUCUCUUGGCUCUC